UUAGUCGAUGUAAAUUUUUAACAAUUUCAUUUCUUUCGAUUUUCAAUGAGUCACUUUAAUAAUUAAUCGAAACUUGAUAUCUCAAUCUCUUACCUAUUACCUAUUUAUAACUUUUUAAUGGAAGAACAAUUGAAAGUUUCUCGAAGCUAAGCACAUUUCUGCUGCAUCGUGUCAGUCGAUAGUCGAGUACAAAGUUAUUAUGCUAAUAUCAAAACGUAUGGCCACAGUGAAUGCUUAUUAACAGUGACAAAUUUGAGUUUACAAUUUGAAGUAAUGACUUUAGCAAACAUCUUCCCUUACUUUUCAAAAUAAACGAAUCGAAUAGAAUUGAAUUUGCAAAUCAUGGAAAAUUUUCGAAUUUGAUUAAUAUAUUGAUUAAAGACAUUCACAUAAAAGUGUUGAUACUCGUCCAAGCGAUGGUCCUCGUUAAAAGUACUUCUCGUAACCGAUCGAUAUCGAGUGAUAGGAUUUUCUUGAAUUGUUUAACGUUAUGGCAUGGUAACCGACACAAACAAUGUUGAUUUUAACGAUCGGUGAAGAAAAAUCGUGAAAUCGGAAGAAUGAUAUCGGUGUACACAUAAAUUUGUGAUUUCGAUUCGAUUUAGAACAAUGGAAUAUCUAUCUACGAAGUGGAAUUUGAAUUGUACAAUGAUUCGGUGAUCGUGCAAUUAGGCAGUUUUCAACAGUCAAAGUGGCAGCCAUCAACAAUCUCCUUCUCUGCGCGAUCCUCGAGAGAUAUAAGAAGGCAACGUUGGAAGAAUUGUCGCGGUUUGAGAAUACGUUUUACACGAUGAACGAACCAGAUCCUUGUCUACCAUUGAUUCUACCACCUAGAUACAGGCUUCGUGAUCUCAUACUCGGGGAUUACGCUUUCAACGACGAUGGGGAACGUUUCUUCGAAUCGGAACGAAUGCCUCGAUAAUUCAGAUUCUUAUGUCGUGAAUCGAAUUGAACGCCCAUUGUUGCCAUUUGGAAUUUCGAUUCGUGGAGAGAGAGAUUCGAAGGACGAAAAUUAUAGUAUCGAAUUUAAGGUGGAUAUCCAACGAAUUCUUAAUACCAAUAUAAUUAAUCGUAUUGAAAAUUAAAUAAUUGUACGUCAAAUUGUUAUAUAUAGUAAUUCGUAAAUUAAUAAUAAUUGUAAUGAAAAUUGUAGGUCCAAUGGGAAAAAUUUUAGGCAAUGUGCAAAUUAUUAUUAACAUAUAAUUCGUGAAUUAAUCGUAAUAAAAAUUAGAAAAUUGUACAUCGAGUGGCAAAUA